rnacentral:rRNA from 1 species
CGGAAGGAUCAUUAACACUAAUCCAAUCAACUCAACCUAGCCUUCAGUUGCCUCAGCAGCGCUUGSGUUGCUGGAGCAGCAAACAACAUAUCUAAUUACGCAAAGGAAGCUAACUAAGCUCAUUUUAAAAUCCAAAUUCUCAACGAUGGAUAUCUUGGUUCCCAUAACGAUGAAGAACGCAGCGAAGUGCGAUAAGCAAUGCGAAUUGCAGAACCGUGAGUCAUCAGAUUUUUGAACGCAACUGGCGCCGGUUGGUCCUCCAGCCGGCAUGCUUGUUUCAGUGUCUCUUUAUCUCAUCACCCAAAUCAUAAUGCGAGAGAUACCCUUCUCUUGCUAAGCAUGAAAGCACUCUGCGCUCUGCGAGCGACUUCGACUUGUUCGAUGGUCGCACUCAAUGUAGCAGUCACAUUGCUCACAAUGUGAACUCAUUGAGAGCUGAGGUAGUGUAGCGUAAGCUACUAGUGCUUAGUCACACAAACUUACUUGCAUCUGAAAUCAAGCAGGAUCACCCGCUGAACUUAA